rnacentral:rRNA from 1 species
AUAACCCUUUGUGAACAUACCUACAACUGUUGCUUCGGCGGGUAGGCCGUCCCCUGAAAAGGACGCCUCCCGGCCCGGACCGGACCCCCCGCGGGACCGGACCCGGCGCCCGCCGGAGGAUAACCAAACUCUAUUGUAACGACGUUUCUUCUGAGUGGCAUAAGCAAAAUAAUCAAAACUUUUAACAACGGAUCUCUUGGUUCUGGCAUCGAUGAAGAACGCAGCGAAAUGCGAUAAGUAAUGUGAAUUGCAGAAUUCAGUGAAUCAUCGAAUCUUUGAACGCACAUUGCGCCCGCCAGCAUUCUGGCGGGCAUGCCUGUUCGAGCGUCAUUUCAACCCUCAAGCUCUGCUUGGUGUUGGGGCUCUACGGUCGACGUAGGCCCUCAAAGGUAGUGGCGGACCCUCCCGGAGCCUCCUUUGCGUAGUAACAUUUCGUCUCGCACUGGGAUCCGGAGGGACUCUUGCCGUAAAACCCCCCAAUUUUCCAAAGGUGACCUCGGAUCAGGUAGAAAUGCCCCCG